AGCUUAUCUUUUGGCAGUUCCUUCUUCACCCUUCCAAAUCCACACAACAGCACGGGAACCAUCCAGGAGCUGGACUAGAGGCACAAGGCGUCAGCAAUUUGGGCCAUUCCAUCUGGUUAUGGCUCCUCGACUUACACAGGCCGUGGUCCACAAAAGAGGUUUCUGUAAGAAGUUGACCCUACCAGAGGAGCCCUCAGUCUCACAUCUAAGUUUGGAGGGAAGAUUACAAACUGUUCACUCAACUUGACAGAAUGGAAUCAUAUAGUGGGCAGCAGAGACGGCGAGAUUUUAAUCUCAAGCAAAGAGGAGCUUUUUAGAGAUGAAACUUCUUUAAAGCAUCUUAAGGCAAAUGGGGCAGUUGAUAAAGGAAGCUUGUGCUAUAAAAACCGCCAUGGAUAAUGGAACUUCGGCAGCAUUGGACACGCAGUGUGGACCCGAGUUUCUGAACUCAUGUGCCCACAGUGAUCUGCUUGGGUGAAGCUGGGACCCGCGUAGCCGCACAUGCAGAUGCCGAAAUCCACUAUCCUCCAUGGAGACAGACACCGUCAAGGACAAGCACCUGGACUAUCUCCUGCCGCAAAGAGAUACGGGCUGGUGGGAAAGCUGCUGACCAGCAAGAUCAUGAGCUCCCUCCUGUCUGCAAGUAGUCUCAAGGCCAAAGACAGGCUGGUGGGAAAGCUCUGACCAGCAAGGCCAUAUGCUCCCCCUCCCCUACCUAAAGCCCCAAAUAAAAACCCUUCCUUUUAGCUUUCCGGGGAGUUUGAGAUUUGAGCAUUAGCUGCCCUCUCUCCUUGCUCAGCACCGUGCAAAAAUAAAAUUCCUACUUUCUUCCACCACACCCGGUGUCAGAGAUUGGCUUGCUGCGCAACGGGUGAGCGAACUUACUUCAGGUUCGGUAACAGCA
rnacentral:lncRNA from 1 species